GGAAGUGGGGUUCAUCUGGCUGUGACAUCUGUCACCCCAUUGAUAGUCGGGGUUGAUUUGGCUGAUCUGGCCGGCUAGGUGCUUGUCCCCUUCCUCCCUCACUGCUCCAUGAGCAUCCCUCCCAAAGCUGUGCAAGUGGUGGAGGGAUGACCUUCCCCACAGAGGAGGACUGUUCUUCUGUCAAGGGUACUGGAGGGGCUGUGCUCCCCUGUUAGAAUCUCCAAACAAGCUCUCAGAGUCCAUUUGUAGGAGAAUGCAGGGUAGUAAAGCUUAGACAAAAUAUCUAUUUUUUAAUUUUAAAAAAAGAAU
rfam:Equus caballus chromosome 15, whole genome shotgun sequence.